ensembl:misc_RNA 7SK 7SK RNA
GGAUGUGAGGGCGAUCUGGCUGCGACAUCUGUCACCCCAUUGAUCGCCAGGGUUGAUUCGGCUAAUCUGGCUGGCUAGGCGGGUGUCCCUUUCCUCCCUCACCGCUCCAUGUGCGUCCCUCCCGAAGCUGCACGCUCGGUCGAAGAGGACGGCCUUCCCUGAAUAGAGACGGACCGGUCUUCGGUCGUGGCUAUACGAGUAGCUGCGCUCCCCUGCUAGAACCUCCAAACAAGCUCUCAAGAAAGUGGACCGAGAAGGAGAGAUAGCACUACCCUCCCAAUUUGCAUGGUGCUUUCAUGUGGUGAUCAGAGUCUUAU